GUGGCUUUGUCCUCCAAUGGAGUGUAAUCAAACAGCGCUCGCAUGUAGACCUGAAGAAAACACAUGAAGAACAACAAUCGUACAUGAGGACAAGAACAAAAGUUGAAAGACAUGAGGAGCUGCCAUUGACCUCUCUCAGUUCAUCACCGACAUGCACCAGACCUGAGGACAGAGGAGGACUACCUGAUUUACAGAUUCA